CUUGACUGUAGCCUGGAAUUGGGUUCGGGCUCUUCUUGCGCAGCCUAGGUGGGAGGCGUUGAAAGUCUUCUUUCGGGAAGACUGGAGCCAACAGUGAGAGACCACUCUGGAGGAGCUAGAAUUCUAAUGGCGUUCCUUGAAGCAGGACGCUUGACAGUUUCAGGUGGGCAGUUUGACUGGGGCGGUCACCUCCUAAAAGGUAACGGAGGUGUGCAAAGGUUCCCUCAGGCUGGACGGAAAUCAGCCGUAGAGUGUAAAGGCAGAAGGGAGCUUGACUGCAAGACCUACAAGUCGAGCAGGGGCGAAAGCCGGCCUUAGUGAUCCGACGGUUCCGUGUGGAAGGGCCGUCGCUCAACGGAUAAAAGUUA
rnacentral:rRNA from 1 species